AGAGUUUGAUCCUGGCUCAGGAUGAACGCUAGCGACAGGCUUAACACAUGCAAGUCGAGGGGCAUCAUGAGGUAGCAAUACCUUGAUGGCGACCGGCGCACGGGUGAGUAACGCGUAUGCAACCUGCCCGAUACCGGGGUAUAGCCCAUGGAAACGUGGAUUAACACCCCAUAGUACUUUUAUCCUGCAUGGGAUGUGAGUUAAAUGUUUAAGGUAUCGGAUGGGCAUGCGUCCUAUUAGUUAGUUGGCGGGGUAACAGCCCACCAAGACGAUGAUAGGUAGGGGUUCUGAGAGGAAGGUCCCCCACAUUGGAACUGAGACACGGUCCAAACUCCUACGGGAGGCAGCAGUGAGGAAUAUUGGUCAAUGGACGUAAGUCUGAACCAGCCAAGUCGCGUGAGGGACGACUGCCCUAUGGGUUGUAAACCUCUUUUAUAAGGGAAGAAUAAGUUCUACGUGUAGAAUGAUGCCUGUACCUUAUGAAUAAGCAUCGGCUAACUCCGUGCCAGCAGCCGCGGUAAUACGGAGGAUGCGAGCGUUAUCCGGAUUUAUUGGGUUUAAAGGGUGCGUAGGCGGUUUAUUAAGUUAGUGGUUAAAUAUUUGAGCUAAACUCAAUAGUGCCAUUAAUACUGGUAAACUGGAGUACAGACGAGGUAGGCGGAAUAAGUUAAGUAGCGGUGAGAUGCAUAGAUAUAACUUAGAACUCCGAUAGCGAAGGCAGCUUACCAGACUGUAACUGACGCUGAAGCACGAGAGCGUGGGUAGCGAACAGGAUUAGAUACCCUGGUAGUCCACGCCGUAAACGAUGAGUGCUAGGUGUUAGGCCCUUUCCGGGGCUUAGUGCCGCAGCUAACGCAUUAAGCACUCCGCCUGGGGAGUACGACCGCAAGGUUGAAACUCAAAGGAAUUGACGGGGGCCCGCACAAGCGGUGGAGCAUGUGGUUUAAUUCGAAGCAACGCGAAGAACCUUACCAGGUCUUGACAUCCCGAUGCUAUUUCUAGAGAUAGAAAGUUUCUUCGGAACAUCGGUGACAGGUGGUGCAUGGUUGUCGUCAGCUCGUGUCGUGAGAUGUUGGGUUAAGUCCCGCAACGAGCGCAACCCCUAUUGUUAGUUGCCAUCAUUGAGUUGGGCACUCUAGCGAGACUGCCGGUAAUAAACCGGAGGAAGGUGGGGAUGACGUCAAAUCAUCAUGCCCCUUAUGACCUGGGCUACACACGUGCUACAAUGGUUGGUACAACGAGUCGCAAGUCGGUGACGGCAAGCAAAUCUCUUAAAGCCAAUCUCAGUUCGGAUCGUAGGCUGCAACUCGCCUACAUGAAGUCGGAAUCGCUAGUAAUCGCGGAUCAGCACGCCGCGGUGAAUACGUUCCCGGGCCUUGUACACACCGCCCGUCAAG
rnacentral:rRNA from 1 species